rnacentral:rRNA from 1 species
GGUGUAGCGGUGGAAUGCGCAGAUAUCAGGAGGAACACCGAUGGCGAAGGCAGAUCUCUGGGCCGUAACUGACGCUGAGGAGCGAAAGCGUGGGGAGCGAACAGGAUUAGAUACCCUGGUAGUCCACGCCGUAAACGUUGGGCGCUAGAUGUAGGGACCUUUCCACGGUUUCUGUGUCGUAGCUAACGCAUUAAGCGCCCCGCCUGGGGAGUACGGCCGCAAGGCUAAAACUCAAAGGAAUUGACGGGGGCCCGCACAAGCGGCGGAGCAUGCGGAUUAAUUCGAUGCAACGCGAAGAACCUUACCAAGGCUUGACAUACACCGGAAACGGCCAGAGAUGGUCGCCCCCUUGUGGUCGGUGUACAGGUGGUGCAUGGUUGUCGUCAGCUCGUGUCGUGAGAUGUUGGGUUAAGUCCCGCAACGAGCGCAACCCUCGUUCUAUGUUGCCAGCGCGUUAUGGCGGGGACUCAUAGGAGACUGCCGGGGUCAACUCGGAGGAAGGUGGGGAUGACGUCAAAUCAUCAUGCCCCUUAUGUCUUGGGCUUCACGCAUGCUACAAUGGCCGGUACAAAGGGCUGCGAUACCGUAAGGUGGAGCGAAUCCCAAAAAGCCGGUCUCAGUUCGGAUUGAGGUCUGCAACUCGACCUCAUGAAGUCGGAGUCGCUAGUAAUCGCAGAUCAGCAACGCUGCGGUGAAUACGUUCCCGGGCCUUGUACACACCGCCCGUCAAGUCAUGAAAGUCGGUAACACCCGAAGCCGGUGGCCUAAC